AAAUUCUUAACGGCCGCGGCACUAAAACCGUGCAAAGGUAGCACAAUCACUUGUCCCUUAAAUGAGGACCCGUAUGAAAGGCAACAUGAGAGAAGACCUGUCUCCUAAGGCCAGCCAAUGAAAUUGAACCACCAGUACAAAAGCUGGUAUUUACAAGCAAGACAAAAAGACCCCAUGGAACUUUAACAAAUUAUUUAUUAUAACAUAAAUUAUAGUUUCAGUUGGGACAACUUUAGAGAAAAUUAACCUCUUAAUAAUACACAGACCAACAAGUCUAACCUACCCGACCCAGUCACACUGAUUAACGAAACAAGCUACCCUGGGGAUAACAGCGCCACCUUCUCAAAGAGUCCAUAUCAACAAGAAGAUCUACGACCUCGAUGUUGGAUCAGGGUACCCUGACGGUGCAGCAGCUGUCAACGGUUCGUUUGUUCAACGAUUAAUACCC
rnacentral:rRNA from 1 species